rnacentral:rRNA from 1 species
UACGUAGGUGGCAAGCGUUGUCCGGAUUUACUGGGCGUAAAGAGCGCGCAGGCGGUCGUUCAAGUCGCGUGUGAAAGCCCCCGGCUCAACUGGGGAGGGUCACGCGAUACUGAUCGACUCGAAGGCAGGAGAGGGAAGUGGAAUUCCCGGUGUAGUGGUGAAAUGACGUAGAUAUCGGGAGGAACACCAGUGGCGAAGGCGACUUCCUGGCCUGUUCUUGACGCUGAGGCGCGAAAGCUAGGGGAGCAAACGGG